GUGCUUGCUUCGGCAGCACAUAUACUAAAAUUGGAAUGAUACAGAGUAGAUUAGCAUGGCCCCUGUGCAAGGAUGACAUGCAAAUUCGUGAAGCGUUCCAUAUUUUU
rnacentral:snRNA from 1 species